UUUAAUUUUAAAAACCUGCUCUUAACUUACAGGUUAUCCGCAAAAGUUACUAUCUCUUCUUUGCGGGGUGAUAAGAUGGUCGCUCUCCUUUACCCUUUUUCCCCUUAUUUCGCUAUCAUCUCUACAAAUUUUCUAUCUUAAGACUAUUAGCUUUAUAAAGUUGAAGGGAACAGAGACACUAAGUAAGGAGCAGUAAUACAUUUUAUUAUGUAUGACUAAUGAAACCAGGAGAGGAUUGACUUAAAGCUAGCAACAUAGAGCAGUAAAGGGCGAAAGUGGGCUCUACCGUAGUAGUGGCUCCGGUGCAUGGUAAAGGGGAAGGACCAGCUGUCUGAGCAAAAUUGGGGGGUUCGUCAAAUUUUGAUCAGUAGAAUUGCUGCGUUUAUGUUCCUCAAAGAUUUUGUAUUCUUCCAAAUUCCCCUUAUAAGUGCAAUUUUUACAUAAGUUAAAUUCUUAUAAUGACGCCGUGAGCAGCAAAGUAAUUUUGCAUCAAAUGUGUCACACCUCCUCUUCUAGCAUUGAAAGACUAUGAAGAAGCUUUUAAUAAAAUGCAAACUUAGCAUUC